rnacentral:rRNA from 1 species
UACGAAGGGGGCUAGCGUUGCUCGGAAUCACUGGGCGUAAAGGGUGCGUAGGCGGGUCUUUAAGUCAGGGGUGAAAUCCUGGAGCUCAACUCCAGAACUGCCUUUGAUACUGAAGAUCUUGAGUUCGGGAGAGGUGAGUGGAACUGUGAGUGUAGAGGUGAAAUUCGUAGAUAUUCGCAAGAACACCAGUGGCGAAGGCGGCUCACUGGCCCGGUACUGACGCUGAGGUGCGAAAGCGUGGGGAGCAAACAGG